GAAACCCGCUAUCUAAACAGGGCUCCGUAUCCAUCUGAGCUGUGCAAAGCUCCGGGAGCCCUGUCGGUGGAGGCAGAUUACAGGCACAGCUCCUGCUCUGGCUUUGAACUCCACCCCGACGCCUCUUGACCGGGAUGACAGCGCUCGCACAGAGGUGCCCUUGGAGCAGCCCCCCCUUUCCUCAGGGCGAUACCCAGCAGUGAGCUGCUGUGGCUGGGAGCCUGCAGCUCUGUGCACCACGUCAGGAGCUGCAGGUGCAGGAGCAGGCAAUGGGCCGGCACUGCUGAGAGCUCGCCAGGGCUGUGCUCACAGCUCUCACUGCAGCACCAGCAGCAGCAGCUCCAUGGUCGGGAGCUUGUGCGGGAGGCACCGCAGCCAGCUGCAGAGCCACCGGCAGGCCGGACACUGCAAAGUGCACCACGGAGACUGAAAACAAAGUAUGAUUGUUGUCCUCGUCUUCCAAAGGAUGCCCUUGUCAGCGUGGGCACCUUGGAUGGUUUCUGAGGCAGGCUUGACUCAGCACAUUUGUCAACAUCCUGUGACUCCGAAUCCAUCUUUUUUUCCCCAGAGAGGAGCUGGAGAGGCCAGCCCUCCACCUGCGGGGCCGCUCCCAUCCUCCUGCCCCACACGUCCCUGGAGCUGAGGACCAUUCACUGCCUGGCUCCGUGCUGCUCGCCUGGCGCUGCAGCCACGCCACAUGAGGACAGGCGUCCUCCUCCACCAGCACCUUUCCCACUGCUGGAGUCGGCACACGUUUCUUUCCUGACAUCAGAUCUCUUAUUUAAUCAUGCAAUAUAUUUGCCAGUGUACCAUUAAGCGUAGAUUUGUAUAUCCUUAAAUUAAAUUUAGCUACUAGGGCUGAGUUAUUUCCUUCCUGAUUACCCAGUUGUAUGAAACAAUAGCCAUUAAUCUCUCUCCCUUUUGCUGGUGUGCUACUUUUAGAAUUUACCAUGCUGAGGGCUUGGAAGAACAGAGCAAACACUUUCAUUCUCCUGUAAAAGGAUUUCAACAUGCCCUUCUCCUGCUUUGUACUCAACCUCUGCAGACUAAAAAGCCCCUUUUCUACAGUUAAUUUCUCCUUCACUCUUAUCUGCCACUCUGACUUUCAUGUGAGUUGAUUGAAAAUAUGGUGCUAAAUGCAGCUCUUUCAUUUGAACUAAUGCAAAUUA